CGAUGGCAGAUGAUCGCUGGUGAUCCCGAAAGUCUUCGGGGUUGCUGGAGGAAAGUCCGAACACCAUACGGCGGCAUGCCGCGUAAAACACGCGGGCGCCGCGGUUGAAAAACUGCGGUGACGGAGAGUGUCACAGAAAAGACACCGCCGGUUCUUUAUGUGCAGGCAAGGGUGAAAAGGCGAGGUAAGAGCUCACCGCUCGCGGAGUAAUUCGCGAGGCACGAAAAACCCCAUGCGGUGCAAGACAAAACAGAGGAAGGGCAGCCGGCCCGAUUAAUCCUCGGGUAUCGUCGCAUCAUGAUGGCUGUAACGGCGGUCUAUGGCCGCCGAAACGUCAUCGGACAUCCCACGAAAGCGGGCUGAGAUAAAUGAUCAUCCCGGCUGAGAAAUUGGCCGGACAGAAUUCGGCUUAUAGCCAUCGAAAA
rnacentral:RNase_P_RNA from 1 species